rnacentral:rRNA from 1 species
UACGUAGGGUGCGAGCGUUAAUCGGAAUUACUGGGCGUAAAGCGUGCGCAGGCGGUUUUGCAAGCCGGAUGUGAAAUCCCCGGGCUCAACCUGGGAAUGGCAUUCGGGACUGCAAGGCUGGAGUGCGGCAGAGGAGACUGGAAUUCCUGGUGUAGCAGUGAAAUGCGUAGAUAUCAGGAGGAAUACCGAUGGCGAAGGCAGGUCUCUGGGCUGACACGGACGCUCAUGCACGAAAGCGUGGGGAGCAAACAGG